CCUACGGGUGGCAGCAGUGAGGAAUAUUGGUCAAUGGGCGAGAGCCUGAACCAGCCAAGUCGCGUGAGGGAGUACUGCCCUAUGGGUUGUAAACCUCUUUUGUCGGGGAGCAAAAGCCGGACGUGUCCGGCUGUGAGAGUACCCGAAGAAAAAGCAGCGGCCAACUCCGUGCCAGAAGCCGCGGUAAUACGGAGGAUGCGAGCGUUAUCCGGAUUUAUUGGGGUUAAAGGGUGCGCAGGCGGAUUUUUAAGUCAGCGGUCAAAUCGUGGGGCUCAACCCCAUCCAGCCGUUGAAACUGGGGAUCUAGAGUGUGCGAGCGGUAUGCGGAAUGCGUGGUGUAGCGGUGAAAUGCAUAGAUAUCACGCAGAACCCCGAUUGCGAAGGCAGCAUACCGGUGCACAACUGACGCUCAGGCACGAAAGCGUGGGUAUCGAACAGGAUUAGAUACCCCAGUACUC
rnacentral:rRNA from 1 species